rnacentral:rRNA from 1 species
UACGAAGGGAGCUAGCGUUGUUCGGAAUCACUGGGCGUAAAGCGCACGUAGGCGGAUGUGUCAGUCAGGGGUGAAAUCCCAGAGCUCAACUCUGGAACUGCCUUUGAUACUGUCAAUCUGGAGUAUGGAAGAGGUGAGUGGAAUUCCGAGUGUAGAGGUGAAAUUCGUAGAUAUUCGGAGGAACACCAGUGGCGAAGGCGGCUCACUGGUCCAUUACUGACGCUGAGGUGCGAAAGCGUGGGGAGCAAACAGG